rnacentral:tRNA from 1 species
GGCGGGGUAGCUCAGUCGGUUAGAGCACCGGCUUCAUAAGCCGGUUGUCGGGGGUUCAAGUCCCCCCCCCGCUA